UGACGGAGCGCGUGCUGGCCGGGGCCGAGGGGCUGGUCAGGGUUAGGGUUAGGGUUAGGGUUAGGGUUAGGGUUAGGUACUGACGGAGCGCGUGCUGGCCGGGGCCGAGGGGCUGGUCAGGGUUAGGGUUAGGGUUAGGGUUAGGUACUG